rnacentral:precursor_RNA from 1 species
CAAAUUAAAUUGCGAGCAAAAAAGAAAGAUUGCGGCCAUGCUCUCCACAGGCUUUCUUGAACUGUGAACUCGUGUGUGCAUGCUCCUCAUAUAUUGUUCUAGAUCCCAUGCAUGAUGCAUAUCGAUCGAUCUGAUCUGAAUUAGGUCAUCGAUGCGCAUCUGGAUCCCCAUCUUGUUGAUAGUUCAAGAAAGUCCUUGGAAAACAUGGUGCCCUCGAUCUUAAUUAUAUCUUACUUAUAUAUCUACCUAGCUAUAUCUCCUGCCUGCUCUAAUUCUUGGAUCGAUCGCGAUGGAGAUUAAUUGAUCUGUACAUCGAUCCAUGCAUAUCAGAUACUGCUCACCCGGCCGCCAUCUGCGUGCAAUUCGAUCUAGCAGGUAAAAUUACUGCUUGGAUUUUUAUUGAAUUAUUCUUUCUGCUAAUUGGAAUAUUCUAUCUGCAAUAAAAUAUAUCUUGAAAUAAUUCGAUCGGCCAGGCUAAUUUCAGUACUCUUUAAUUUGAUCA